UGAGUACGAGACGCUAAGGCGUCGAAGUAGUGUAUGUCAUACUUCCAAGAAAAGCUUGCACUGUCAUUCAUAAAAAAUGCCUGUACCAUAACCGACACAGGUGGGUAGGUAGAGUAUACUAAGGGGCGCGAGAUAACUCUCUCUAAGGAACUCGGCAAAAUAACUCCGUAACUUCGGGAGAAGGAGUGCCUUAUUUAUAUAAGGUUGCAAUAACAAGAUCCAAGCAACUGUUUACCAAAAACACAGGUCUCCGCUAAGUCGUAAGACGAUGUAUGGGGGCUGACGCCUGCCCAGUGCCAGAAGGUUAAAGAAGUUGGUUAGCAAUAGCGAAGCUGAUAACUGAAGCCCUGGUGAACGGCGGCCGUAACAAUAACGGUCCUAAGGUAGCGAAAUUCCUUGUCGGGUAAGUUCCGACCCGCACGAAAGGCGUAAUGAUUUGGAUACUGUCUCGGAGAGGGACUCGGUGAAAUAGACUUGUCUGUGAAGAUGCGGACUACCUGCACCUGGACAGAAAGACCCUAUGAAGCUUUACUGUAACUUGAAAUUGAAAUUGGACUUUAUUCGCGCAGUAUAGGUGGGAGGCGUUGAAAAUAAUCUUGCGGGACUAUUGGAGCCAUCAGUGAGAUACCACUCUUAUAAUGUUAGAUUUCUAACUUUGAAUCAUUAUCUGGUCAAAGAACAGUUUCAGGCGGGCAGUUUGACUGGGGCGGUCGCCUCCCAAACGGUAACGGAGGCGUACAAAGGUUUCCUCUGAACGGGUAGAAAUCGUAUCUAGAGUAUAAAGGCAAAAGGAAGCUUGACUGUGAGACCUACAAGUCGAGCAGGGACGAAAGUCGGUCUUAGUGAUCUGACGGUACUGAGUGGAAAGGCCGUCACUCAACGGAUAAAAGUUACUCUAGGAUAACAGGCUGAUCUCCCCCAAGAGUUCACAUCGACGGGGAGGUUUGGCACCUCGAUGUCGGCUCAUCGCAUCCUGGGGCGGUAGUACGUCCCAAGGGUUGGGCUGUUCGCCCAUGAAAGCGGUACGCGAGCUGGGUUCAGAACGUCGUGAGACAGUUCGGUCCAUAUCCGGUGUAGGCGUUAGAAUAUUGAGAGGAGCCUUCUUUAGUACGAGAGGACCGAGAAGGACAUACCUCUGGUGUACCAGUUAUCGUGCCAACGGUAAACGCUGGGUAGCUAUGUAUGGAGUGGAUAACCGCUGAAAGCAUCUAAGUGGGAAGCCCACCUCAAGAUGAGUAUUCUCAAG
rnacentral:rRNA from 1 species